CUUCGGGCGGGGGCUCCGGGUGGACACUUCAAACUCUUGCGUAACUUUGCAGUCUGAGUAAACUUAAUUAAUAAAUUAAAACUUUUAACAACGGAUCUCUUGGUUCUGGCAUCGAUGAAGAACGCAGCGAAAUGCGAUAAGUAAUGUGAAUUGCAGAAUUCAGUGAAUCAUCGAAUCUUUGAACGCACAUUGCGCCCCCUGGUAUUCCGGGGGGCAUGCCUGUUCGAGCGUCAUUUCACCACUCAAGCCUCGCUUGGUAUUGGGCAACGCGGUCCGCCGCGUGCCUCAAAUCGUCCGGCUGGGUCUUCUGUCCCCUAAGCGUUGUGGAAACUAUUCGCUAAAGGGUGUUCGGGAGGCUACGCCGUAAAACAACCCCAUUUCUAAGGUUGACCUCGGAUCAGGUAGGGAUACCCGCUGAACUUAAGCAUAUCAAUAA
rnacentral:rRNA from 1 species